UUCAUUUUGAGAAUCUUUCUCUUGAGUUGGCCAGCGCAAGCCUCACAAUGCAUGUUCACAUUCAGCUCCACGGUGGUCAAUCCGCUAACCUGGAUGAGGACGAUGACGAUGACGAUGACGAUGACGAUGGAUCAUUUUUGUAUUGAUACAGGAAAAAGCAAACCUGCGAGGCAACAACCUGGGGCAUCGGCUCCCCCUCAGCUGCGGGUAGCGGCGACAACACUUGGGCUCUUCUUUUGGCUUUCUUCUCAAUGGUGGUGCAUACAGCUUGGGGCUCCACUACACCUUUUAUAGUCACUUGGUUUUGCGACAUGUCGAUUACAACCCCCUCAACGCCUGUGAUCGUCAAAUGCCCCACCAAAUUUAUCGUCAAAAGUUUUUUUUUUUUUUUAAAAAAAGAAAACCCUGCUAGUAUAUUAACCAAACCAGGGUAAUAUGUACAUAUACAUAAUACAUACAUAUAUAUAUGUCCUAUACCUCUAAUCUUUAAAAUGGACCGCUCAAUCUUCUUUGCA